CAAAGGUGAGCCAGUACGGGAUGGACCCGCGUCUGAUUAGCUAGUUGGUAAGGUAACGGCUUACCAAGGCGACGAUCAGUAGCCGACCUGAGAGGGUGAUCGGCCACAUUGGAACUGAGACACGGUCCAAACUCCUACGGGAGGCAGCAGUGGGGAAUAUUGCACAAUGGGCGAAAGCCUGAUGCAGCAACGCCGCGUGAGUGAUGAAGGCCUUCGGGUCGUAAAACUCUGUCCUCAAGGAAGAUAAUGACGGUACUUGAGGAGGAAGCCCCGGCUAACUACGUGCCAGCAGCCGCGGUAAUACGUAGGGGGCUAGCGUUAUCCGGAUUUACUGGGCGUAAAGGGUGCGUAGGCGGUCUUUCAAGUCAGGAGUGAAAGGCUACGGCUCAACCGUAGUAAGCUCUUGAAACUGGGAGACUUGAGUGCAGGAGAGGAGAGUGGAAUUCCUAGUGUAGCGGUGAAAUGCGUAGAUAUUAGGAGGAACACCAGUUGCGAAGGCGGCUCUCUGGACUGUAACUGACGCUGAGGCACGAAAGCGUGGGGAGCAAACAGGAUUAGAUACCCUGGUAGUCCACGCUGUAAACGAUGAGUACUAGGUGUCGGGGGUUACCCCCUUCG
rnacentral:rRNA from 1 species